GAUGAACGCUGGCGGCGUGCCUAAUACAUGCAAGUCGAGCGAACGGACGAGAAGCUUGCUUUUCUGAUGUUAGCGGCGGACGGGUGAGUAACACGUGGAUAACCUACCUAUAAGACUGGGAUAACUUCGGGAAACCGGAGCUAAUACCGGAUAAUAUUUUGAACCGCAUGGUUCAAAAGUGAAAGACGGUCUUGCUGUCACUUAUAGAUGGAUCCGCGCUGCAUUAGCUAGUUGGUAAGGUAACGGCUUACCAAGGCAACGAUGCAUAGCCGACCUGAGAAGGAGAUCCGCCACACUGGAACUGCAACACGGUCCAGACUCCUACGGGAGGCAGCAGUAGGGAAUCUUCCGCAAUGGGCGAAAGCCUGACGGAGCAACGCCGCGUGAGUGAUGCAGGUCUUCGGAUCGUAAAACUCUGUUAUUAGGGAGGAACAUAUGUGUAAGUAACUGUGCACAUCUUGACGGUACCUAAUCAGAAAGCCACGGCUAACUACGUG
rnacentral:rRNA from 1 species